rnacentral:rRNA from 1 species
UAGUCCACACCGUAAACGAUGAAUGCCAGACGUCGGGGGGCUUGCCCUUCGGUGUCACACCUAACGGAUUAAGCAUUCCGCCUGGGGAGUACGGUCGCAAGAUUAAAACUCAAAGGAAUUGACGGGGACCCGCACAAGCGGUGGAGUAUGUUGUUUAAUUCGACGCAACGCGAAGAACCUUACCUACACUUGACAUACUCGUCGGGACUUUCAGAGAUGAUUGUCUUCGGUUCGGCCGGACGAUGUACAGGUGCUGCACGGCUGUCGUCAGCUCGUGUCGUGAGAUGUUGGGUUAAGUCCCGCAACGAGCGCAACCCUUGUCUUUAGUUGCCAUCAUUUAGUUGGGCACUCUAGAGAAACUGCCGGUGACAAACCGGAGGAAGGUAAGGAUGACGUCAAGUCAGCAUGCCCCUUACGCUCUGGGCUACACACGUGCUACAAUGGUCGCGACAAAGAGUUGCUAGUCUGCGAAGGCAAGCCAAUCUCAUAAACGCGGCCUUAGUUCGGAUUGCAGG